rnacentral:rRNA from 1 species
AACGAACGCUGGCGGCAUGCCUAACACAUGCAAGUCGAACGAGACCUUCGGGUCUAGUGGCGCACGGGUGCGUAACGCGUGGGAACCUGCCCUUAGGUUCGGAAUAACUCCCCGAAAGGGGUGCUAAUACCGGAUAAUGUCUUCGGACCAAAGAUUUAUCGCCUUUGGAUGGGCCCGCGUUGGAUUAGCUAGUUGGUAGGGUAAAAGCCUACCAAGGCGACGAUCCAUAGCUGGGCGGUGAGGAUGAUCAGCCACACUGGGACUGAGACACGGCCCAGACUCCUACGGGAGGCAGCAGUGGGGAAUAUUGGACAAGGGGCGAAAGCCUGAUCCAGCAAUGCCGCGUGAGUGAUGAAGGCCUUAGGGUUGUAAAGCUCUUUGACCCGGGAUGAUAAUGACAGUACCGGGAGAAUAAGCUCCGGCUAACUCCGUG